GACGAACGCUGGCGGCGUGCUUAACACAUGCAAGUCGAACGGAAAGGCCCUGCUUUUGUGGGGUGCUCGAGUGGCGAACGGGUGAGUAACACGUGAGUAACCUGCCCUUGACUUUGGGAUAACUUCAGGAAACUGGGGGUAAUACCGGAUAGGAGCUCCUGCUGCAUGGUGGGGGUUGGAAAGGUUCGGCGGUUGGGGAUGGACUCGCGGCUUAUCAGCUUGUUGGUGGGGUAGUGGCUUACCAAGGCUUUGACGGGUAGCCGGCCUGAGAGGGUGACCGGCCACAUUGGGACUGAGAUACGGCCCAGACUCCUACGGGAGGCAGCAGUGGGGAAUAUUGCACAAUGGGCGGAAGCCUGAUGCAGCAACGCCGCGUGCGGGAUGACGGCCUUCGGGUUGUAAACCGCUUUCGCCUGUGACGAAGCGUGAGUGACGGUAAUGGGUAAAGAAGCACCGGCUAACUACGUG
rnacentral:rRNA from 1 species